rnacentral:rRNA from 1 species
GCUUGUCUCAAAGAUUAAGCCAUGCAUGUCUAAGUAUAAACAACUUUGUACUGUGAAACUGCGAAUGGCUCAUUAAAUCAGUUAUAGUUUAUUUGAUGGUGCUUACUACAUGGAUAACCGUGGUAAUUCUAGAGCUAAUACAUGCGCAAAAGACCCGACUGUUUGGGAGGGUUGUAUUUAUUAGAUAAAGCCAACGCUGGGUAAAACCAGUUUCCCUUGGUGAUUCAUAAUAAUUAAGCGGAUCGCAUGGCCUUGUGCUAGCGACAGUCCACUCGAUUUUCUGCCCUAUCAUGGUUGAGAUUGUAAGAUAGAGGCUUACAAUGCCUACAACGGGUAACGGGGAAUUAGGGUUCGAUUCCGGAGAGGGAGCCUGAGAAACGGCUACCACAUCCAAGGAAGGCAGCAGG